rnacentral:lncRNA from 1 species
CUCUGCCUCCCCAGUGCUGGGAUUAAAGGUGUGUUCCACCACGCCCGGCUGAGUUCAGCUUCUUGAGCUCUUUGUAUAUAUUGGAUAUCAUUCCCCUAUCAGAUUUAGAAUUGGUAAAAUUUCUUUCCCAAUCUGUUGGUGGCCUUUUUGUCUUAUUGACAGUAUCUUUUGCCCUACUGUAGCUUUGCAAUUUUAUGAGGUCCCAUUUGUCAAUUCCUGAUCUUACAGCACAGGCCAUUGCUGUUCUGUUUAGGAAUUUUUCCCCUGUGCCCAUAUCUUCGAGGCUUUUCCCCACUUUCUCCUCUAUAAAUUUCCGUGUCUCUAGUUUUAUGUGGAGUUCUUUGAUUCACUUAGACUUGAGCUUUGUACAAGGAGAUAAGAAUGGAUCAAUUCUCAUUCUUCUACAUGAUAACCGCCAGUUGUGCUAGCACCAUUUGUUGAAAAUGUUGUCUUUUUUCCACUGGAUGGUUUUAGGUUCCUUGUCAUAGAUCAAGUGACCAUAGGUGUGUAGGUUCAUUUCUGGGUCUUCAAUUCUAUUCCAUUGGUGUACUUGUCUGUCGCUAUACCAGUACCAUGCAGUUUUUAUCACAAUUGCUCUGUAGUAAAGCUUUAGGUCAGGCAUGGUGAUUCCAUCUGAGGUUCUUUAUCCUUGAGAAGAGUUUUUGAUACCGUAGUAUUUUUGUUAUUCCAGAUGAAUUUGCAGAUUGCCCUUUCUAAUUCAUUGAAGAAUUGAGUUGGAAUUUUGAUGGGGAUUGCAUUGAAUCUGUAGUUUGCUUUUGGCAAGAUAGCCAUUUUUACUAUAUUCGUCCUGCCAAUCCAUGAGCAUGGGAGAUCUUUCCAUCUUCUGAGAUCUUCUUUAAUUUCUUUCUUCAGACACUUGAAGUUCUUGUCAUACAGAUCUUUCACUUCCUUAGUUAGGGCCACACCAAGGUAUUUUAUAUUAUUUGUGACUAUUGUGAAGGGUGUUCUUUGCCUAAUUUCUUUCUCAUCCUGUUUAUCCUUUGUGUAGAGAAAGGCCACUGAUUUGUUUGAGUUAAUUUUAUAUACAGCUACUGCGCUGAAGCUGUUUAUCAGGUUUAGGAGUUCUCUGGUAGAAUUUUUAGGGUCACUGAUAUAUACUAUCAUAUCAUCUGCAAACAGUGAUAUUUUGACUUCUUCCUUUCCAAUAUGUAAGUACACUGUAGCUAUCUUCAGACACACCAGAAGAGGGCAUCAGAUCUCAUUAUGGAUGGUUGUGACCCACCAUGUGAUUUCUAGGAUUUGAACUGAGGACCUUCGAAAGAGCAGUCAGUGCUCUAAACAGCUGAGCCAUCUCUCCAGACCAAUAUUAGACUUCUUAAAUGUUACUUGAGUUUUCUGUCUCAUGUUUAUUAUUUCGUGAUGUUUAAUUACAUGCUAUUUUACUCUUUUCUACUUUAUAACUUUGGUAUUUCUUUUUGGUGACAACCUUAGCUUUUCUCUUUCUCUAACUAUUUAUUUAUUUGAGAUAAUUUUUGUUCAUAAAAUAUAUUAUGGUUAUGUUUUCUCUUAACCUUAACUCCUCUCAGAUCCUCCCCAGAUCCACCCAAGCCUCUUUAAAAAAUUCCCAAUAUAAAACAAGAUUAGAUAAAAUGAAUCAAACCAGAAUAGUUAGAGUAUGAUUACAGUGAAGAGACACCAUGACCACAGCAACUCUUAUAAAGGCAAACAUUUAAUUGGGGCUGGCUUACAGUUUCAGAGAUUCAGUCCAUUAUCAUCAUGGCGGGAAGCAUGGCAGCAUGCAGGUAGGCAAGGUGGUGAAGGAGCCAAGAGUUCUACAUCUUUAUCUAAAGACAGCCAGGAGGAGAUUAUUCCACACUUGGAAGAGCUUGAGUACUAAAAGACCUCAAAGCUCACCCCUGUGGUGAUGUACUUCCUCCAAAAGGCCACACACACUCCAACGAGGCCACACCUCCUAAUAAGGCCACUUCCCAUGGGCCAAGGUUUCAAACACAUGAGUCUGUGGGAGCCAAACCUAUUCAAACCACCACAGGGACAAAAUAGGAAAG